rnacentral:tRNA from 1 species
ACCUGAUGGCUUAGACAGUAAAGGAUCUGCCUGCAAUGCAGGAGAUUUGGGUUCAAUCCCUGAAUCAGGAA